rnacentral:rRNA from 1 species
UACGUAGGGUCCGAGCGUUGUCCGGAAUUACUGGGCGUAAAGAGCUCGUAGGUGGUUUGUCGCGUUGUUCGUGAAAACUCACAGCUCAACUGUGGGCGUGCGGGCGAUACGGGCAGACUGGAGUACUGCAGGGGAGACUGGAAUUCCUGGUGUAGCGGUGGAAUGCGCAGAUAUCAGGAGGAACACCGGUGGCGAAGGCGGGUCUCUGGGCAACUACUGACGCUGAGGAGCGAAAGCGUGGGGAGCGAACAGG